rnacentral:misc_RNA from 1 species
CUGAGAAGCCAGUUACAAACUGUAUUGCUGCAUUUGAUCUUCAUAAUGUGGAUGGACUUGGGAUUCAAAGUAAGAAUGUGUUUCAAGUUUCUUACACAGGUUUCCAACAAGAUAAGGCGUAAAUUGUUCUUCCUUUCCACCCCAGCAACAACCACUGGCUAUCUUCAUCUAUUACAAAGUCUCUAUGAUAUCCUAACCUCACUUUUUCUAUUGCCUUAUUCACGAAUUCCUCCCGGUCAAAAGGUAUCUGUGUAAACCUUGCCCCCAAUACGAGCUUGCCACUGCUUGUGAGGGGUGGGAAAGAGUUGAACGUCCAGAG